GAUGAACGCUAGCGGCAGGCUUAAUACAUGCAAGUCGUACGGGAUCCGAGAUAGCAAUAUCUUGGUGAGAGUGGCGCACGGGUGCGUAACACGUAUGCAACCUACCUUUAACCGGGACACAACCUCGAGAAAUUGUGGCUAAUAUCCCAUAACACUGCGAAGUGGCAUCACUUUGCAGUUAAAACUCCGGUGGUUAUAGAUGGGCAUGCGCGACAUUAGCUAGUUGGUGAGGUAACGGCCCACCAAGGCUACGAUGUCUAGGGGUUCUGAGAGGAUUAUCCCCCACACUGGUACUGAGACACGGACCAGACUCCUACGGGAGGCAGCAGUGAGGAAUAUUGGACAAUGGGCGCAAGCCUGAUCCAGCCAUGCCGCGUGCAGGAAGAAGCAUCUAUGGUGUGUAAAACUGCUUUUGUACGGGAAGAAACACUCCUUCGUGAAGGAGCUUGACGGUACCGUAAGAAUAAGGAUCGG
rnacentral:rRNA from 1 species